CCCGGCUUCGAUUACGCAGUGGCCACACCUGUUCCCAUCCCGAACACAGAAGUUAAGCACUGCAGUGCCUGAUGUAUCCUUUAUGGAAAGAUAUGGUCGUCGCCGGGU
rnacentral:rRNA from 1 species